AAACAAGAAGCAACCAUUGCAUUCAGUUUCGACCUGAAAGAUAGACACAUAUGAACUAGUCCUUGUUUA
rnacentral:tRNA from 1 species